rnacentral:rRNA from 1 species
CCUACGGGAGGCAGCAGUGAGGAAUAUUGGUCAAUGGGCGAGAGCCUGAACCAGCCAAGUCGCGUGAAGGAUGAAGGCUCUAUGGUUUGUAAACUUCUUUUAUAUGGGAAUAAAGUGUGGAACGUGUUCCUUUUUGUAUGUACCAUAUGCAUAAGCAUCGGCUAACUCAUUGCCAGCAGCCGCGGUAAUACGGAGCGUGCGAGCGUUAUCCGGAUUGAUUUGGUUUAAAGUGUGCGUAGGUGGUUAAUUAAGUCAGCGGUGAAAGUUUGUGGCUCAACCAGAGAAUUGCCGUUGAAACUGGUUGACUUGAGUAUAUUUGAGGUAGGCGGAAUGCGUGGUGUAGCGGUGAAAUGCAUAGAUAUCACGAAGAACUCCGAUGGCGAAGGCAGCUUACUAAACUAUAACUGACACUGAAGUACGAAAGCGUGGGGAUCAAACAGGAUUAGAUACCCUUGUAGUC